UAUGCUUGUGUUUCUCCAUGUUAGAAGAAUAGAGAAGAACAUGUUCUAUAAGGAAGGGCCAAGUGAAAAUGUUCGCACGGCUUUGAAACUGAUAAAGUGUAAUUAAAAGGUAGUAAAAUUUAUAUUGCUUUCUGAGUUUCAUCAGACCUUUUAUAUUACAUCAUGGUUGAUGGUUUUACUUAUACAAAUCUUUUCCGCUGAGCAAAUAAUGUUAAGAGUGAGUAUAUAUAAUAUAUGGCUACAUGUUAUGUUUACAGGCAUGCUCAAAAUGAUAACUAGCUUCUCUGUAGUAUUUCACCUUACAUUAGACACUCUAAUCUAUUGGAGACUUUAUCAUUAGGUUGAUCAAUAGUAUUUGUUUUUAGCUUGAAAGUAAUUACUGUCAAUGAGUGAAAAGUAAUUGUAGUUUUAUGAUUUAAAGUACUACGGCCGGAAAUAAUAAUUAGUAUUUCUGUACGUGUGCAUUACGUUAGGUAUUCUAGACUUCUAGUCCGUUAGAGACUUUUCUCUGUGAGUGAUCAAUAGUAUAGCAAGCUGAAUGGUCAUUGUUGAAGUUUAGUGAUGGUGUGAACUGGGAACAACGAUAAAACUAACUAAGGUUUUUACUUGUGCGCCAUUAGCUAAAUUCAUUUCCCUGCAAGGUUGGUCACCAAGCGGUCAUUGAACUGAAGGGAUUAGAGAAUAAUAUCCAUAUUAACCUGCUCUUUUUCUCUCUUCUCAAAAACAAAAAUCCCUUCUCUCAUCUCUCUCUUAGCUUCAUUGCCUUACUUCAGACAUUGGAGUGGUCUCCUUAUAGACAGAGCCUGAGGUAAGUGUUACUACUUUUCUUUUUAGCCUCUAUGAUCAUGAAUUGUUUUUUUCUUUUGGAAUAAUUUGAUCCAAAAGAAGUAUUUGUUGAUGCUUGACAGGGGUAGCUUUACUUGUAGUAUGUUGUGUUGUAAUUUAUCUUUUUAUUACUUAGACCAGGGAUACCUCAUCCCUUCACUGUUUUGUACUUCGGAUAUUGAACUUUUUUCUACGAAUAUGUUGGUCGUUUACCUCUCAAACCAAUAAAAAUAACACCGGAAGAUAUACACUGCGACUUUUUUCUAUUUCUAGUUCAAUGGAUUUUAAAACACGGGAUCAACACUAAAGAAAUGCCUG
rnacentral:lncRNA from 1 species